rnacentral:rRNA from 1 species
GGAUUAGAUACCCUGGUAGUCCACGCCGUAAACGAUGUCAACUAGCCGUUGGGUCCCCUUAAUAGGACUUAGUGGCGAAGCUAACGCGUUAAGUUGACCGCCUGGGGAGUACGGCCGCAAGGUUGAAACUCAAAUGAAUUGACGGGGGCCCGCACAAGCGGUGGAGCAUGUGGUUUAAUUCGAAGCAACGCGCAGAACCUUACCUACCCUUGACAUGGAGAGUUUGGUUAGUGGAGACACUUUCCUUCAGUUCGGCUGGCUCUCACACAGGUGCUGCAUGGCUGUCGUCAGCUCGUGUUG